rnacentral:tRNA from 1 species
ACUGGAUUUAGGUUCCAGCGGGGGCGACCCCGUAAGGGUUCAAGUCCCUUCGUCCCCACCA